CCUUGGGUGACGAGUGGCGGACGGGUGAGUAAUGUCUGGGGAUCUGCCCGAUAGAGGGGGAUAACCACUGGAAACGGUGGCUAAUACCGCAUAACGUCGCAAGACCAAAGAGGGGGACCUUCGGGCCUCUCACUAUCGGAUGAACCCAGAUGGGAUUAGCUAGUAGGCGGGGUAAUGGCCCACCUAGGCGACGAUCCCUAGCUGGUCUGAGAGGAUGACCAGCCACACUGGAACUGAGACACGGUCCAGACUCCUACGGGAGGCAGCAGUGGGGAAUAUUGCACAAUGGGCGCAAGCCUGAUGCAGCCAUGCCGCGUGUAUGAAGAAGGCCUUCGGGUUGUAAAGUACUUUCAGCGGGGAGGAAGGCGAUGCGGUUAAUAACCGCGUCGAUUGACGUUACCCGCAGAAGAAGCACCGGCUAACUCCGUGCCAGCAGCCGCGGUAAUACGGAGGGUGCAAGCGUUAAUCGGAAUUACUGGGCGUAAAGCGCACGCAGGCGGUCUGUUAAGUCAGAUGUGAAAUCCCCGGGCUUAACCUGGGAACUGCAUUUGAAACUGGCAGGCUUGAGUCUUGUAGAGGGGGGUAGAAUUCCAG
rnacentral:rRNA from 1 species